UGGGGGGGUAACGGGCUCACCAAGGGCAACGAUGCGUAGCCGACCUGAGAGGGUGAUCGGCCACAUUGGGACUGAGACACGGCCCAAACUCCUACGGGAGGCAGCAGUAGGGAAUCUUCCGCAAUGGACGAAAGUCUGACGGAGCAACGCCGCGUGAGUGAAGAAGGCCUUCGGGUCGUAAAACUCUGUUGCCGGGGAAGAACAAGUGCCGUUCGAACAGGGCGGCGCCUUGACGGUACCCGGCCAGAAAGCCACGGCUAACUACGUGCCAGCAGCCGCGGUAAUACGUAGGUGGCAAGCGUUGUCCGGAAUUAUUGGGCGUAAAGCGCGCGCAGGCGGCUUCUUAAGUCUGAUGUGAAAUCUUGCGGCUCAACCGCAAGCGGUCAUUGGAAACUGGGAGGCUUGAGUGCAGAAGAGGAGAGUGGAAUUCCACGUGUAGCGGUGAAAUGCGUAGAGAUGUGGAGGAACACCAGUGGCGAAGGCGGCUCUCUGGUCUGUAACUGACGCUGAGGCGCGAAAGCGUGGGGAGCAAACAGGAUUAGAUACCCUGGUAGUCCACGCCGUAAACGAUGAGUGCUAAGUGUUAGAGGGUUUCCGCCCUUUAGUGCUGCAGCUAACGCAUUAAGCACUCCGC
rnacentral:rRNA from 1 species